rnacentral:rRNA from 1 species
AUCGAACGCUGGCGGCAGGCUUAACACAUGCAAGUCGAACGUGUGGCGGACGGGAGAGUAAUGCUUGGGAAUCUGGCUUAUGGGGGGGGUAAACGACUGGAUACUGUCGCUAAUACCGCGUACCAUAGGAUGAGCCCAAGUGGGAUUAGCUAGUUGGUGGGGUAAUGGCCUACCAAACGUCGAUCACUAGCGGGUCUGAGAGGAUGACCAGCCACACCGGGACUGAGACACGGCCCGGACUCCUACGGGAGGCAGCAGUGGGGAAUAUUGCGCAAUGGGGGCAAGCCUGACGCAGCCAUGCCGCGUGUAUGAAGAAGGCCUUCGGGUUGUAAAGUUCUUUCGGUGACGAGGCGUUAAUCGCAGAAGAAGCACCGGCUAACUCCGUGCCAGCAGCCGCGGUAAUAC